UUUUUUUUAAAAAAUUCUGAAUCUUGGGCAACUGUUCUCGUGUAACUACUUCAGUUUCUAAAAGCAGUUAUUGUCCAAAGCUGGAAGAACUUAAGUCUUCUCAGAUGAGCAUGUGAAUGAAUGGAGGGAGGUAAACAAAAAAUAAAAUUAAAAAAGAUGAGGUCUGAUAGGGGAGCAGCCGGAAAAUCAAAAAAGGGCCAGUAAUUUAAAGUUUAUUCCAGCUAUAAUGCAGGUUAUUCUGACUGUAAGGUAGCGUCACAUGGCAUACUUCUGAGUCCGUUCCCGAGAUCUUCUGUUGUAUCCAUCGCUGUCUGUUUUAUAGAUCCGUGCAAUCUCUGGCACUAGGGGGUCAUAUGGGUCUGGGUCACAUAGCAGUGAACAAAUGGAUAAAAGAGCCUUAGAAAUAGUUACAGCAGGAGACCACUGUGAUCUUAGAAUAUCAAGACAAAUGCUGCCGUUACUGUUAAUAUUUGGAUGAUAAAUUCUUGUUGGAAAUGCAACCUUAGGUGGUUUGAAGGGGUGGGUAGUCUGUAGGAAAAUGAAUUGUCAAAAAGAAUACACCACCUUGAUAUGGGCUGUCAUUAGGUCCCAUAAUUGUGGCUUGCAAAUGAAACAUGUCAUCUCCAACUGGACCUGCAGAACAUUGUGCUGGAGGGUCACGGGCCAAAUCACUAAGUUCCUUAUUAAUCCGUUUCAGCGCCAUAGUCUGUGCUUUUCGCCGGGCUCCUCACUAUCCCGAGGUGUACUCAAAGGUCCGGCCAAAACUCUUGAUUAUCCCGGCGGCGGGGAAGGGUUGUCUCUUCUUCUCACACCGGCUCUGGCAGACACAGGCGCUUGGGAUGGAGGGGCCGAUCUCACGAGAACCUCGUGGCCGGCUCGCCAGAGCUCCGGGUCUGCAAUGACUUAAGGGCAGUUUUGUGCUCUCUUCCUGGUUCCGGACCCGCCAGCAUAUUGUUUUAAAAUAGACUUUUUAACUAUAGCUUUUUAGUUAACUGAAGCCAUCUUAAAGUACAUUGAGAAAAUGCUGUCAAAUAACCGUUAGUUAUCAAGAGAAAACGAGCAAAGAUUGUAUUUUUAAAUAUUUCAGUUUUGAUUCUUUGCUGUGUUAAAAUGGUAAGAAUUAUUUGGAAUAGAAGAAAAUUUUUCAACUGACAAUGGACUUUACCCUAUAUAAGAGAAUUAUGAUGAGCAAAAGUUUAUUCCCUUAAUUUCAUCAUAAUACAAACCCUGUUACAUUAACAGUGUAAACUUUUAAACACACAAAUACACUUUUAAUACAAGAUAUUUUCAUGGUCUAACAAAAAGCAAAGAUUCCGCUCCGGGUUGAAUACAUUGUCACAUUGUUAUAAGAACUCUGAAGUCAAUGUCCAACACAUUGUAAAUUGAUUUAUUGGUUUGGUCUAUAUUUCUAACCAUGGUGAAAUCAGUAGUAAUGCCAUAUAAUAAGCAUUAUAAAUGUUUAUUAAUAAUGUUCAAAAUUUUCUUAUACAGAUUUUUGGUUUUAGUUUGCUAACAUAUAUUCUACCAAAAAUUUCCAACACUGUGAUCUCUAUCAGUGUUUUGCUGAAUGCCCACUUUUUGGAUGGUACAAUACCAACCAUUACACUCACAGAAUCAUACAAUCUUUUCUGUUGUUGUUUUUUUUUUAAUGUAUAUUUUAGUAGUUUUGGUUCUUGAGUGUGUGAUAAAAGACUGUUUAUUUUCUUCUUGGAGUGGCCUAAUUGCAUUUUCCCCAUUCACUCAUUUUUAAACUAUAUUCAACUUGGUCAAAAUAGGUACUAUUUCUGCCUAAUACAAUCUUUUUUGUUUUAAGUUACCAGUUUGCGCCUAUUACAUUUUAGUCACCUAAUCAAGGCUUUUCUCAGAACACAAUGAGUUGUUUUAAAUAUUACAGUUUAAAAAUGUAUCUAUUGGAAAACUGUUAUUUAGAGUAAGAUUUAGAAAUACUGUAUUUGUGCCUUUUUCAUUGUUUUGCUUUUUAAUGUGUUUUGAUAUUUGGAGCACAAAUAUGAAGGUGCCAUAAGAUGGCUUGCUAAUGUUACCUCCUUAAAUACUUUCUAUAUUACUAUCUUCAAAUAAUAAUUGAAGAACCUUGAAUGAAAUGUGGUCCUUUGUGUGAGACAUGUAUGUGUUUAUAUUUUUUUGGGCUGUGUGUAAUGUUUAAAGAGUGAAUUUAUGAAAAUAGAACUUAAAUAUGCUGAAAGUUCAGAUUAAUUGAAGUAUCUCAUUUAAGUGAGCUUUAUUUGAAAAGACAGUGGAUUGCCAGAAGACAGUGUAAUCCUCAAAAAUGUGACCAGCAUUCUGCAUUAUAAAAUAGAAAAAUAGUGCUGUUUUAGGAUAUCAAGGAUAAUUAAAUUUUAAAAAUAAUUGCUUUAAAUAUUUUUAAAGUAUCAUGAACAUUAUUGUUUUAUUUUUUAACUCGAUCUAAUUGAGUUUAAAUUUUCAGAAAUAUUCAUUUGCUCAUUUAAACUUUAUACAUGAACUUUAAGUAGAAGUUUUUAUAUGAAAUUAUAGGUAAGAGCUUCAAGUAUGGCUCAGUAAUAGAAUGCUUAUGAAUAUUUGUGAUCUAUAGGUUGGAUCCAUAGCAACACCAACACACAAAAAAUGGGAUCAUAGAUACUAUUCAUUGUUAGAAAAAUGCAACAGAGACUUGGGUAAGUUUUGUGAAAACCUCACUCAGCAGUUUUACCACAUGUAGCGGUGAAACAAUCUGUCUUACACAUGCCUAGUCCGUGGUGGUUACAUGGAGAUAUUUGCUGUGGUGGGAGAGGUGGGUGAAUGGGUGACGGGCUUUCAGUGUUCUCAGAAAAUAAACACAGCACUUUCAGCAUACAGGAGAGUAUUUUACAAACCUUUUUAUAUACAGAUUGUGAGCUCCAACUUGAGUGUUCAUGGAAUGAUAAAAAUGUUGGCUAUUUCUAACUGAAAAAAAUACUGAGUGCCUCCAAUGCAAGACUUCUUUGCUAGGAAUGAAAUCACGCUGUAUUUUCUGUUAUUAUUGUGUAUAAAUUUAUGUCUGAGAAGGAAUACUUAUUUUUAAAUAUUUUCCUGUUAGUAAAGUUUAUUAUAUACUAUAACUAGUUAAUUUAACAUUACUUACAGAUGAGUUGAGUCCAUUUUUCAAAAUAAAGUUCUGCUAAAAUUAUUUAAUUAUUAGUUCAGAAGGAAAUUGACUUUUAAGACUCAGACUCAUACUCAGACCUUUAACAUUUAAUCUUCCUGGCCUUUCUUUAAUCCAUUUGUUGUUUUAUGAUGAGAUUCACACUAUUUGUAUCAUUGUUGGAAAUAGAUUUUGUGUUUCAGCACGUUGAGUUAAAAUAAAAUUGUUAGUACUUAUUC
rnacentral:lncRNA from 1 species